GACUUGUACAUUCCGAUAAUGCAUUGCGGCGGAUGUUGGGGUCAAGCGAGGUCAGGGGUAAAACAUGGCGAAGCGUCAUUAGAGACUCGGUAUCCGUUUAGUUCUUUUGCCACUUUGAAACACUAAUUCAUGUUCUGAAAAAACUCUGGAUCCUCCGGAAAUGUAAAAAUGUGCAUAAUAUUCCAUGGACUCAACGAUGGUGACAACCGUACGUUACACAAAAGUCAUUUUUGCCCACGAAAACAUCUGUUCAAAAGCUAACGUACGUUACAUGUAAGAUGCAUAUGAGACCUAGCUGAGCAAUACCCUGGCCGAGAUCCCAAAUGCAGCUAGAAAACAGGAACAAGAACAAAGUCCCUACAAUAUUUUCCCACAAGGGAACACUUAGUAGAAGGCCUCCUAAUAAAUAUGCAAGAUCUUAUAAGCCAGUAACAGCAACCCCAUCUUGUUUUUCAGAAAGAACAGUAGAAACUGCAUCAAAGGCUGAUAAACAUCCAACAGCUACUGAUGGACAGCAUGAAUUUGACCAAGAGUCAUCUGCAACUGUUAAGGCAAUACAUAAAUAUAAUUCAAAUUUAUGUUUG